rfam:Rhodobacteraceae bacterium HLTCCA12 ITZX_scaf_9, whole genome shotgun sequence.
GGCCCGUCACAACGGCUUCCUGGCGUGACGGUGUAAACCCUAAUGGAGCA